rnacentral:rRNA from 1 species
AUUGAACGCUGGCGGCAGGCCUAACACAUGCAAGUCGAAUGGUAACAGGAAACAGCUUGCUGUUUCGCUGACGAGUGGCGGACGGGUGAGUAAUGUCUGGGAAACUGCCAGAUGGAGGGGGAUAACUACUGGAAACGGUAGCUAAUACCGCAUAACGUCGCAAGACCAAAGAGGGGGACCUUCGGGCCUCUUGCCAUCAGAUGUGCCCAGAUGGGAUUAGCUAGUAGGUGGGGUAACGGCUCACCUAGGCGACGAUCCCUAGCUGGUCUGAGAGGAUGACCAGCCACACUGGAACUGAGACACGGUCCAGACUCCUACGGGAGGCAGCAGUGGGGAAUAUUGCACAAUGGGCGCAAGCCUGAUGCAGCCAUGCCGCGUGUAUGAAGAAGGCCUUCGGGUUGUAAAGUACUUUCAGCGGGGAGGAAGGGAGUAAAGUUAAUACCUUUGCUCAUUGACGUUACCCGCAGAAGAAGCACCGGCUAACUCCGUG